rnacentral:rRNA from 1 species
GACGAACGCUGGCGGCGUGCCUAAUACAUGCAAGUCGAGCGCACGGACGUGAAGCUUGUUCCUCUGAGGUUAGCGGCGGACGGGUGAGUAACGCGUGGAUAACCUACCUAUGAGCGUGGGACAACAUUUGGAAACCAGUGCUAAUACCGCAUAAAAUCUUUAAACACAUGUUUCAAGUGUGAAAGAUGCACUUGCAUCCCUCUAUAAUGAGACCCCGUUGUCUUUGCCUGUUUGGUAAGGUAACGGCAUACAAAGCCAUCGAUGCGUAGCCAACCUGAAGGGGGGAUCGGCCACACUGGAACUGGGCCACGGUCCAGACUCCUACGGGAGGAGGCAGUAGGGAAUCUUGCGCAAUGAGCGAAGGCCUGACGGAGCAACGCCGCGUGAGGGAUGAAGGUCUUCGGUUCGUAAAACUCUGUUAUUAGGGAGGAACAUAUGUGGAAGUAACUGUGCACAUCUUGACGGUACCUAAUCAGAAAGCCACGGCUAACUACGUG